AAUAAAGUGCCUGAAUUAAAGGAUUAUCUUGAUAGGAUAAAAAAUGUAAUUUUAUUACCUUUAUUA
rnacentral:tRNA from 3 species